UACGGGGGGGGCAAGCGUUGUUCGGCAUUACUGGGCGUAAAGGGCGCGUAGGCGGUUUGCUAAGUUGGAUGUGAAAACUCUGGGCUUAACCCAGAGCCUGCAUCCAAAACUGGCAAACUUGAGUACUGGAGGGGAAAGCGGAAUUCCUGGUGUAGCGGUGAAAUGCGUAGAUAUCAGGAGGAACACCGGUGGCGAAGGCGGCUUUCUGGACAGUAACUGACGCUGAGGCGCGAAAGCUAGGGGAGCAAACAGG
rnacentral:rRNA from 1 species